rnacentral:lncRNA from 1 species
GGAAUUACUUCUUUUACAGGAAUGAAAUUUUCCUUGAGAUCUCCUCUAAAUCCAGCUGUUCGGAGCUUUGUUCCUGGCCCAAGACCUCCAUAUCCAUUUGGAUAAUGGGAGGAACUGAAAACGGGAAGUUCUUAUGAUGGGAGAGAGAGGUCGGGCUGUGGAGAAGCAAGUGAGGUGGCUGAAACAGAUGGCUAGAGGAAGUGUGCCACCCCUAC